GUAACCGAACGCACGCGAUGAUUCCAAAUUUGAAAAGUGUGCUUUUUCUGUGAGUCGCCAGUUAUUUUUCUGAUUGGGUUCUUUUUAGUGUGCUGUGUGGAAUUAUACAUUUGUUUUUGUGAUUUCAAAAGUGUAAUUAAAGGUUAGAUCCAGCCUGCAAUGACCUGUAACCUGAUUGCCGCAAGCACUAAAUUGGUAUUCCACGACGCGGGUCCAGCAAUAAUAGGUACCCGCAACCAUGAACACAUCACUCGCAUCCAGAAUUAAAAGCGCGUCCACUUAAGAUGGCGGAAACGACAUCCCUAGACCCUCACCAAUGGCUGCGCAAGAGGCCCAAACCACUAAGAACCAUGAGAUCUCGGCUGAGCAUCAUCAUCGUAUCCAUACUGGUUCUUCUGCCUUACAGUUCAACGCUGAGCCUUCCGAGCGGGGAUCCUGCCCCAGGGAGGUCUCCUGGGCCUCCUAAGUUACAAGAAUACACCAGUACCGAUAGAGUAGAUAUUGUAACUGUAGAAGAGAGCAUAGAUUACGACGUCAGCACGACACCUGGCAUCGAGGAAGUGACAACAGUGAGUGAUGUUAGUGAACGGACGGUGGGUGAUGCUUGUGCCUUUGCGAGAAUUCCGAGUGACAGUGAUGAGGUGGUGACGUUAGACGUGCGCGAGAGUGACGUGAAUCUGACAGUCAGCCAUCCUGUGUUCGAGACGGACGAGCUUAUACGCGGGGUGGUGU